rnacentral:rRNA from 1 species
AGGUUUUCGGAUCGUAAAACUCUGUUGUUAGAGAAGAACAAGGAUGAGAGUAAAAUGUUCAUCCCUUGACGGUAUCUAACCAGAAAGCCACGGCUAACUACGUGCCAGCAGCCGCGGUAAUACGUAGGUGGCAAGCGUUGUCCGGAUUUAUUGGGCGUAAAGCGAGCGCAGGCGGUUUCUUAAGUCUGAUGUGAAAGCCCCCGGCUCAACCGGGGAGGGUCAUUGGAAACUGGGAGACUUGAGUGCAGAAGAGGAGAGUGGAAUUCCAUGUGUAGCGGUGAAAUGCGUAGAUAUAUGGAGGAACACCAGUGGCGAAGGCGGCUCUCUGGUCUGUAACUGACGCUGAGGCUCGAAAGCGUGGGGAGCAAACAGGAUUAGAUACCCUGGUAGUCCACGCCGUAAACGAUGAGUGCUAAGUGUUGGAGGGUUUCCGCCCUUCAGUGCUGCAGCUAACGCAUUAAGCACUCCGCCUGGGGAGUACGACCGCAAGGUUGAAACUCAAAGGAAUUGACGGGGGCCCGCACAAG